GAUGAACGCUGGCGGCGUGCCUAAUACAUGCAAGUCGAGCGAACGGACCAGAAGCUUGCUUCUCUGAUGUUAGCGGCGGAGGGGAGCGUCACACGUGGAUAACCUACCUAUCAGACUGGGAUAACUACGGGAAACCGUAUCUUAUACCGGAUGAUAUUUUGCCCCGCGUGGUUCAAAAGUGAAAGUCGGUCUUGCUGUCACUAAUAGAUGGUUACGCGCUGCAUUAGCUGGUUGGUAAGGUAACUGCUUACCAAGGCUACGAGGCAUAGCCGACCUGAGAGAGUGGACGCCGACAUGGGAUGUGAGACAGGGUCGAGACGCCUGCGGGAAGCAGCAGUAGGGAAUCUUACGCAAUGGGCGAGAGCCUGACGGAGCAACGGCGCGUGAGUGAUGAAGGUCUACUGAUCGUAAAACUCUGUUAUUAGUGGAGAACAAAUGUGUAAGUAACCGUGAACAUCGUGACGGUACCGGAUCAGAAAGCCCCGGCUAACUACGUG
rnacentral:rRNA from 1 species